UACGUAGGGCGCAAGCGUGUCCGGAAUUAUUGGGCGUAAAGAGCUCGUAGGCGGUUUGUCGCGUCUGCUGUGAAAUCCCGAGGCUCAACCUCGGGCUUGCAGUGGGUACGGGCAGACUAGAGUGCGGUAGGGGAGACUGGAAUUCCUGGUGUAGCGGUGGAAUGCGCAGAUAUCAGGAGGAACACCGAUGGCGAAGGCAGGUCUCUGGGCCGCAACUGACGCU
rnacentral:rRNA from 1 species